AUUUCACAGUUAGCGAGAACGCAGACGGCUAAGAGAGCCAUCUGUUGACAGUCGUCAAUUGCCCACUGUCAUGGAGUUGCUCUCUUCAGAUGCCUGCAUUCAGAUUCCUUUGUCCUAA
rnacentral:pre_miRNA from 9 species